rnacentral:rRNA from 4 species
CUUUGGGUGUGACUGCGUACCUUUUGUAUAAUGGGUCAGCGACUUAUAUUCUGUAGCAAGGUUAACCGAAUAGGGGAGCCGGAGGGAAACCGAGUCUUAACCGGGCGUUAAGUUGCAGGGUAUAGACCCGAAACCCGGUGAUCUAGCCAUGGGCAGGUUGAAGGUUGGGUAACACUAACUGGAGGACCGAACCGACUAAUGUUGAAAAAUUAGCGGAUGACCUGUGGCUGGGGGUGAAAGGCCAAUCAAACCGGGAGAUAGCUGGUUCUCCCCGAAAGCUAUUUAGGUAGCGCCUCGUGAAUUCAUCUCCGGGGGUAGAGCACUGUUUCGGCUAGGGGGCCAUCCCGGCUUACCAACCCGAUGCAAACUGCGAAUACCGGAGAAUGUUAUCACGGGAGACACACGGCGGGUGCUAACGUCCGUCGUGAAGAGGGAAACAACCCAGACCGCCAGCUAAGGUCCCAAAGUCAUGGUUAAGUGGGAAACGAUGUGGGAAGGCCCAGACAGCCAGGAUGUUGGCUUAGAAGCAGCCAUCAUUUAAAGAAAGCGUAAUAGCUCACUGGUCGAGUCGGCCUGCGCGGAAGAUGUAACGGGGCUAAACCAUGCACCGAAGCUGCGGCAGCGACACUGUGUGUUGUUGGGUAGGGGAGCGUUCUGUAAGCCUGUGAAGGUGUGUCGUGAGGCAUGCUGGAGGUAUCAGAAGUGCGAAUGCUGACAUAAGUAACGAUAAAGCGGGUGAAAAGCCCGCUCGCCGGAAGACCAAGGGUUCCUGUCCAACGUUAAUCGGGGCAGGGUGAGUCGACCCCUAAGGCGAGGCCGAAAGGCGUAGUCGAUGGGAAACGGGUUAAUAUUCCCGUACUUGGUGUUACUGCGAAGGGGGGACGGAGAAGGCUAUGUUGGCCGGGCGACGGUUGUCCCGGUUUAAGCGUGUAGGUGUGUGUUCCAGGUAAAUCCGGUUCACUUUAACACUGAGGCGUGACGACGAGGCACUACGGUGCUGAAGCAACAAAUGCCCUGCUUCCAGGAAAAGCCUCUAAGCAUCAGGUAACAUCAAAUCGUACCCCAAACCGACACAGGUGGUCAGGUAGAGAAUACCAAGGCGCUUGAGAGAACUCGGGUGAAGGAACUAGGCAAAAUGGUGCCGUAACUUCGGGAGAAGGCACGCUGACACGUAGGUGAAGUGAUUUACUCAUGGAGCUGAAGUCAGUCGAAGAUACCAGCUGGCUGCAACUGUUUAUUAAAAACACAGCACUGUGCAAACACGAAAGUGGACGUAUACGGUGUGACGCCUGCCCGGUGCCGGAAGGUUAAUUGAUGGGGUCAGCGCAAGCGAAGCUCCUGAUCGAAGCCCCGGUAAACGGCGGCCGUAACUAUAACGGUCCUAAGGUAGCGAAAUUCCUUGUCGGGUAAGUUCCGACCUGCACGAAUGGCGUAAUGAUGGCCAGGCUGUCUCCACCCGAGACUCAGUGAAAUUGAACUCGCUGUGAAGAUGCAGUGUACCCGCGGCAAGACGGAAAGACCCCGUGAACCUUUACUAUAGCUUGACACUGAACAUUGAGCCUUGAUGUGUAGGAUAGGUGGGAGGCUUUGAAGUGUGGACGCCAGUCUGCAUGGAGCCGACCUUGAAAUACCACCCUUUAAUGUUUGAUGUUCUAACGUGGACCCGUUACCCGGGUUGCGGACAGUGUCUGGUGGGUAGUUUGACUGGGGCGGUCUCCUCCUAAAGAGUAACGGAGGAGCACGAAGGUUGGCUAAUCCUGGUCGGACAUCAGGAGGUUAGUGCAAUGGCAUAAGCCAGCUUGACUGCGAGCGUGACGGCGCGAGCAGGUGCGAAAGCAGGUCAUAGUGAUCCGGUGGUUCUGAAUGGAAGGGCCAUCGCUCAACGGAUAAAAGGUACUCCGGGGAUAACAGGCUGAUACCGCCCAAGAGUUCAUAUCGACGGCGGUGUUUGGCACCUCGAUGUCGGCUCAUCACAUCCUGGGGCUGAAGUAGGUCCCAAGGGUAUGGCUGUUCGCCAUUUAAAGUGGUACGCGAGCUGGGUUUAGAACGUCGUGAGACAGUUCGGUCCCUAUCUGCCGUGGGCGCUGGAGAACUGAGGGGGGCUGCUCCUAGUACGAGAGGACCGGAGUGGACGCAUCACUGGUGUUCGGGUUGUCAUGCCAAUGGCACUGCCCGGUAGCUAAAUGCGGAAGAGAUAAGUGCUGAAAGCAUCUAAGCACGAAACUUGCCCCGA